UACGUAGGGUGCAAGCGUUGUCCGGAAUUAUUGGGCGUAAAGAGCUCGUAGGUGGCCUGUCGCGUCGGCUGUGAAAACCCGGGGCUCAACCCCGGGCCUGCAGUCGAUACGGGCAGACUAGAGUGCGGUAGGGGAGACUGGAAUUCCUGGUGUAGCGGUGAAAUGCGCAGAUAUCAGGAGGGACACCGGUGGCGAAGGCGGGUCUCUGGGCAUUAACUGACGCUGAGGAGCGAAAGCAUGGGGGAGCGAACAGG
rnacentral:rRNA from 1 species